rnacentral:rRNA from 1 species
UACGGAGGGAGCUAGCGUUGUUCGGAAUUACUGGGCGUAAAGCGCACGUAGGCGGCUUUGCAAGUUAGAGGUGAAAGCCCGGGGCUCAACUCCGGAAUUGCCUUUAAAACUGCAUCGCUAGAGUUGUGGAGAGGUAAGUGGAAUUCCGAGUGUAGAGGUGAAAUUCGUAGAUAUUCGGAAGAACACCAGUGGCGAAGGCGGCUUACUGGACACAUACUGACGCUGAGGUGCGAAAGCGUGGGGAGCAAACAGG